rnacentral:rRNA from 1 species
AUUGAACGCUGGCGGCAGGCCUAACACAUGCAAGUCGAGCGGUAGAGAGAAGCUUGCUUCUCUUGAGAGCGGCGGACGGGUGAGUAAUGCCUAGGAAUCUGCCUGGUAGUGGGGGAUAACGUUCGGAAACGGACGCUAAUACCGCAUACGUCCUACGGGAGAAAGCAGGGGACCUUCGGGCCUUGCGCUAUCAGAUGAGCCUAGGUCGGAUUAGCUAGUUGGUGAGGUAAUGGCUCACCAAGGCGACGAUCCGUAACUGGUCUGAGAGGAUGAUCAGCCACACUGGAACUGAGACACGGUCCAGACUCCUACGGGAGGCAGCAGUGGGGAAUAUUGGACAAUGGGCGAAAGCCUGAUCCAGCCAUGCCGCGUGUGUGAAGAAGGUCUUCGGAUUGUAAAGCACUUUAAGUUGGGAGGAAGGGUUGUAGAUUAAUACUCUGCAAUUUUGACGUUACCGACAGAAUAAGCACCGGCUAACUCUGUGCCAGCCGCCGCAGUAA